UGGAGACUGACAACAUCAAGGUUGUGGCAACAGGAGUCUAGAAAAUGCAGAUUUUAUUACACCCUUGUCUUACAGUCUGUAUAGAUUCUUUGAUAACUUUUCUGCCCUGAAUCAAGCUGGCAAGUUUUUUGCUGAAGCACCCCAUCUGUACUGUGAAGUUCUCAUCUCUGUGUCUCACCAGGCUGCCACAAGGAAAAAUGUAUUAAUGUUUAUGAGAAGCUUGGAAUCUACUAUGGGAGUCACAAAGCAGAUCCAAUCUCUCCCUGAAAAUGUGCAAGGAGCCCACCAUGUCUGCUGAGCUGUGAAAAUCCAGAUGGCAGCA